CCUACGGGAGGCAGCAGUGAGGAAUAUUGGUCAAUGGGCGUAAGCCUGAACCAGCCAAGUCGCGUGAGGGAUGAAGGUUCUAUGGAUCGUAAACCUCUUUUAUAAGGGAAUAAAGUGCGGGACGUGUCCCUUUUUGUAUGUACCUUAUGAAUAAGGAUCGGCUAACUCCGUGCCAGCAGCCGCGGUAAUACGGAGGAUCCGAGCGUUAUCCGGAUUUAUUGGGUUUAAAGGGUGCGUAGGCGGCCUUUUAAGUCAGUGGUGAAAGUUUGUGGCUCAACCGUAGAAUUGCAGUUGAAACUGGGAGGCUUGAGUAUGUUUGAGGCAGGCGGAAUGCGUGGUGUAGCGGUGAAAUGCUUAGAUAUCACGCAGAACUCCGAUUGCGAAGGCAGCCUGCCAAGCUAUGACUGACGCUGAUGCACGAAAGUGUGGGGAUCAAACAGGAUUAGAUACCCGAGUAGUC
rnacentral:rRNA from 1 species